CGCCAGACUCCUACGGGAGGCAGCAGUGGGGAAUAUUGCACAAUGGGGGAAACCCUGAUGCAGCGACGCCGCGUGAGUGAAGAAGUAAUUCGUUAUGUAAAGCUCUAUCAGCAGGGAAGAAAAUGACGGUACCUGAGUAAGAAGCCCCGGCUAACUACGUGCCAGCAGCCGCGGUAAUACGUAGGGGGCAAGCGUUAUCCGGAUUUACUGGGUGUAAAGGGAGCGUAGACGGCAGUGCAAGUCUGGAGUGAAAGGCGGGGGCUCAACCCCCGGACUGCUCUGGAAACUGUCCGGCUGGAGUGCAGGAGAGGUAAGUGGAAUUCCUAGUGUAGCGGUGAAAUGCGUAGAUAUUAGGAGGAACACCAGUGGCGAAGGCGGCCUGCUGGACGACAACUGACGGUGAGGCGCGAAAGCGUGGGGAGCAAACAGGAUUAGAUACCCUGGUA
rnacentral:rRNA from 1 species